AUCGCUUCUCGGCCUUUUGGCUAAGAUCAAGUGUUAAAUUUUAAGUAUAAAUUUUGAUCGUAGCAAGCCAGCUAAUAUAUCUAAUCAAAGAUAAAGUCUUGCUGAAUAUUAUUAUUAUCGUAGCUGUUUGUUGUUAAUUUAUCGCUG